AUGUCAGAUUCAGAACCUAAAGACCCGAACAAAGGAAGGAACUACUUCGUCACAGCCUCGAUAGGCGAAGGCGAGUUCUACUGCCAAUGCUGCAAGUUCGAACGGGACGGCAUUGUGUGCUGUCACAUACUAAAAGUAAUGAACGUGAAUGCUGUGACACGGAUGCCCCGACAUUUCAUAAGGCGGCGAUGGACUUGGGACACUAACGAUGCGUUGGCACCGCAAACAACACACGCAGUUCUGGCUGUGCAUGACGAGAGACCAGAGUCAACCAUGGAAGCCGUGAGGCACGUUGUGCUGACAAAAAACUAUGCUGAGCUAAUUGAUGAAGCGUGCAAGAGUGAUGACAUAGCGAGAGUCGCAGAAAAACACAGGAAAGCACUAAAAAGAGAGCUUGAUGAGAUCAAGAAGAGGAAAGCCGAGGAAGCCUUACACCGGUUCCCCCGCACAUCAAGUGUGCCUUCAUCCACAGGGCCGUCGUCUGAAAACUCGGAGAUAGGAUCUGGAACAGCAAGCACACAGACCCAGGUCAGGAACCCACCCCGUUCCAUCACAAAGGGUCGUCCAAGAGAGAUAAGUUAG
rnacentral:rRNA from 1 species